GAUGAACGCUGGCGGCGUGCCUAAUACAUGCAAGUCGAGCGAACAGACGAGGAGCUUGCUCCUCUGACGUUAGCGGCGGACGGGUGAGUAACACGUGGAUAACCUACCUAUAAGACUGGGAUAACUUCGGGAAACCGGAGCUAAUACCGGAUAAUAUAUUGAACCGCAUGGUUCAAUAGUGAAAGACGGUUUUGCUGUCACUUAUAGAUGGAUCCGCGCCGCAUUAGCUAGUUGGUAAGGUAACGGCUUACCAAGGCAACGAUGCGUAGCCGACCUGAGAGGGGGAGCGGCCACACUGGAACUGAGACACGGUCCAGACUCCUACGGGAGGAAGCAGUAGGGAAUCUUCCGCAAUGGGCGAAAGCCUGACGGAGCAACGCCGCGUGAGUGAUGAAGGUCUUCGGAUCGUAAAACUCUGUUAUUAGGGAAGAACAAAUGUGUAAGUAACUAUGCACGUCUUGACGGUACCUAAUCAGAAAGCCACGGCUAACUACGUG
rnacentral:rRNA from 1 species